ACGUUUGUGGCAAAAGACAAAAACCCAAACAAAGUCAGAGGAAGUCGUGUUUCCGGUAGCUAUGGCGAUGUUCAAACUGCAACUCUAGACGACCUCCUCGAACUUCCGGGUUUUGAUUUGAAAAAAGUAAUUAUAAAAAUGGACGUGGAAGGAUAUGAGAACAGGGUGUUUCGAGGAGGACAGAAGUUCUUCAAAAACGUCGACGUUAGAGCUGUGUUAAUGGAAUGGAUGUGGCUCAAAACGGGUCCGGCGGGCCAGGAAAUCAUUGAUUUCUUAAGUCGGCAUGGAUUCACACCGACCCGACCGGUACUAGCCCGGCAGCCAUUACCUCUGAACCAGAGACUCUCGUGGCCAAACGAUGUCUUAUGGAGAAGAUGACACCAGACGACGAACAGUUUAAACGCUGUGCAAUGUUGGUUAGGGAGAGGUCAUGUUUCAGCAAUUACUUAAAUUAUGGAUAGUACCAGUUUUGAAUAAUAAAUAUUUUUU
rnacentral:misc_RNA from 1 species